AUCUAUCCCAGUCAAUGGGAUAAUUGAGGUCUUCAAUCAAUGGCCACAGCCACACUGUUUUGAAUAUGAUUCUAUCUAAAAUGCAUUUGUUGAGAAGAAAAACGAAUUUUACUUAGAUUUUCUUAUUUGCUUUAAUAUCCGUGUAAUGUAAAAUGUUGAUUCCGUUUGAUUUGGUAUAAUUUGUGGUUUCUUAUAAUUCUG
rnacentral:lncRNA from 1 species